AAGGCGCGAUAUGCCAUGUACGCUGCCGCGAAUCAUGGAUGUUUGAAUGCAAUCGGCGCCAUUCCUCAAUUGUAAAGGGAACGGCAUGUUUGUUUCAGCGUGCCUUACUAACUUCCCAUCCUAAUGCUGGGGAAACUCCCCGGUCAAGUCAGUGCUUCCCAGGCCUAACUAUUAUCAAAUAGACGUAGCCGUACGGGAAGCAGACGCAAAUACAGACAGCACCUGAGAUAAGCAAGAUGACCCGCUGAACUUAA
rnacentral:misc_RNA from 1 species